AUUGAACGCUGGCGGCAUGCUUUACACAUGCAAGUCGAACGGCAGCGCGGGCUUCGGCCUCGCGGCGAGUGGGCGACGGGCGGGUGAGGAAUCGGAACAUGCCCAGCAGUUGGGGCUAGCCCGGCGACGGCCGGAUUAAUACCGCAUACGACCAGAGGGUGAAAGCGGGGGACCGAUAGGCCUCGCGCUAUUGGAUGGGCCGAUGUCGGAUUAGCUAGUUGGUUGGGUAAAGGCUUACCAAGGCGACGAUCCGUAGCUGGUCUGAGAGGACGACCAGCCACACUGGAACUGAGACACGGUCCAGACUCCUACGGGAGGCAGCAGUGGGGAAUUUUGGACAAUGGGCGCAAGCCUGACCCAGCCAUGCCGCGUGCGUGAAGAAGGCCUUCGGGUUGUAAACCGCUUUUGUUCGGGAAGAAAAACUGUGGGCUAAUACCCCGGGGUGUUGACGGUACCGGAAGAAUAAGCACCGGCUAACUACGUG
rnacentral:rRNA from 1 species